rnacentral:rRNA from 1 species
AGAGUUUGAUCCUGGCUCAGAUUGAACGCUGGCGGCAUGCUUUACACAUGCAAGUCGAACGGCAGCAUAGAGAGCUUGCUCUCUGAUGGCGAGUGGCGAACGGGUGAGUAAUACAUCGGAACGUGUCCGUUUGUGGGGGACAACCAUCCGAAAGGAUGGCUAAUACCGCAUAAGACCUGAGGGUGAAAGCCGGGGACCGCAAGGCCUGGCGCGAACGGAGCGGCCGAUGACUGAUUAGCUGGUUGGCGGGGUAAAGGCCCACCAAGGCGACGAUCAGUAGCUGGUCUGAGAGGACGACCAGCCACACUGGAACUGAGACACGGUCCAGACUCCUACGGGAGGCAGCAGUGGGGAAUUUUGGACAAUGGGGGCAACCCUGAUCCAGCCAUGCCGCGUGCGGGAAGAAGGCCUUCGGGUUGUAAACCGCUUUUGUCAGGGACGAAAAGGCUGAGUUUAAGAGAUACAGCCGAUGACGGUACCUGAAGAAUAAGCACCGGCUAACUACGUGCCAGCAGCCGCGGUAAUACGUAGGGUGCAAGCGUUAAUCGGAAUUACUGGGCGUAAAGCGUGCGCAGGCGGUUGGGUAAGACAGAUGUGAAAUCCCCGGGCUUAACCUGGGAACUGCAUUUGUGACUGUCCGACUCGAGUAUGUCAGAGGGGGGUGGAAUUCCAAGUGUAGCAGUGAAAUGCGUAGAUAUUUGGAAGAACACCGAUGGCGAAGGCAGCCCCCUGGGGCAAAACUGACGCUCAUGCACGAAAGCGUGGGGAGCAAACAGGAUUAGAUACCCUGGUAGUCCACGCCCUAAACGAUGUCUACCGGUUGUUGGAGGGUAAAGCCUUCAGUAACGAAGCUAACGCGUGAAGUAGACCGCCUGGGGAGUACGGUCGCAAGAUUAAAACUCAAAGGAAUUGACGGGGACCCGCACAAGCGGUGGAUGAUGUGGAUUAAUUCGAUGCAACGCGAAAAACCUUACCUAGCCUUGACAUGUCAGGAACGUUCCGGAGAUGGAGCGGUGCCCGCAAGGGAACCUGAACACAGGUGCUGCAUGGCUGUCGUCAGCUCGUGUCGUGAGAUGUUGGGUUAAGUCCCGCAACGAGCGCAACCC